GGGUCAACAAAUCCUAAGUGUUGAUGCGAGUCAUCCAGGGUCACUUCAUGACUCAUUUAUAUGGAGCCACCAUCCUGUAUGUUACCAUUUAGAAAAUUUAGGGUCUGAAGCAACAUGGCUUUUAGGUAACUUGGGUACUCACAAUGAAGAACGAUGAUGACACCUAUUUUGGAUGCAGAACCAGACACACCGGAAGCAUAUUAUACACAAAAGCAUGUAAAGGCUAGGAAUGUUAUAGAAAGAACUAUAGGUCUUCUCAAAGCACGUUUCCGGUGUCUCUUGUGCCACAGGGUGUUGCAUUAUCAACCACAGGUUGCUGGCUUCAUUACAAAUGCUUGUGUAAUAUUGCACAAUAUUUGUAAUGAAAACAACUUGCCUGAAGUAAGGUUGACAGAAGAAGAGCAAGCAAGGGAAGUUGCACAACAACCACCAGUGGAAGCUCUUCAUGAACCAGCUGAGCAACACAACAUUGAGCUUCAACGUGGUAUAUCUACACGGCGGGAUCUUGUGGCACGUCUCUGGGCUCUUUGCCGUACCUGAAAAUAAAAAAAUAGAAUUUUAUUAUUAA